rnacentral:rRNA from 1 species
GGAAUAACUCAGGGAAACGUGAGCUAAUACCGUAUGUCCUUGGGGGGAAAGAUUUAUCGCGCAUUGGAGCGGCCCGCGUCUGAUUAGCUAGUUGGUGAGGUAAUGGCUCACCAAGGCUACGAUCAGUAGCUGGUCUGAGAGGAUGACCAGCCACAUUGGGACUGAGACACGGCCCAAACUCCUACGGGAGGCAGCAGUGGGGAAUCUUGCGCAAUGGGCGAAAGCCUGACGCAGCCAUGCCGCGUGGAUGAUGAAGGUCUUAGGAUUGUAAAAUCCUUUCACCGGGGACGAUAAUGACGGUACCCGGAGAAGAAGCCCCGGCUAACUUCGUGCCAGCAGCCGCGGUAAUACGAAGGGGGCUAGCGUUGCUCGGAAUUACUGGGCGUAAAGGGCGCGUAGGCGGACAUUUAAGUCGGGGGUGAAAUCCCAGGGCUCAACCCUGGAACUGCCUUCGAUACUGGAUGUCUUGAGUGCGGGAGAGGUGUGUGGAACUCCGAGUGUAGAGGUGAAAUUCGUAGAUAUUCGGAAGAACACCAGUGGCGAAGGCGACACACUGGCCCGUUACUGACGCUGAGGCGCGAAAGCGUGGGGAGCAAACAGGAUUAGAUACCCUGGUAGUCCAC